rnacentral:rRNA from 1 species
AGAGUUUGAUCAUGGCUCAGGACGAACGCUGGCGGCGCGCCUAAUCCAUGCAAGUCGAGCGACGCAUUCCUUAGCCCGUAAGGGCGGGUUUGACGGAGCGGCGAACGGGUGCGUAACACGUGACCAAUCUGCCCCGAAGACCGGGAUAGCCCGGGGAAACCCGGAUUAAUACCGGAUGAUCUCACCACCACGCAUGUGGAGGUGAGCAAAGGCUCAGGCGCUUCGGGAUGAGGUCGCGGCCCAUCAGCUUGUUGGUGAGGUAACGGCUCACCAAGGCAAUUACGGGUAGCUGGUCUGAGAGGACGAUCAGCCACACUGGAACUGAGAUACGGUCCAGACUCCUACGGGAGGCAGCAGGAGGGAAUCUUGCGCAAUGGGCGAAAGCCUGACGCAGCGACGCCGCGUGGGGGAUGAAUGCCUUAGGGUUGUAAACCCCUUUCACGAGGGAAGAAACUGACGGUACCUCGAGAAGAAGCCCCGGCCAACUACGUGCCAGCAGCCGCGGUAAUACGUAGGGGGCGAGCGUUGUCCGGAUUUAUUGGGCGUAAAGGGCUCGUAGGCGGCUUGGCAAGUCGGCCGUGAAAACCCAGGGCUCAACUCUGGGACGCCGGUCGAUACUGCCAUGGCUAGGGUCCGGUAGAGGGNAAUGGA